rnacentral:rRNA from 1 species
UACAGAGGGUGCGAGCGUUAAUCGGAAUUACUGGGCGUAAAGCGCGCGUAGGCGGCUUGUUAAGUCAAAUGUGAAAUCCCCGAGCUUAACUUGGGCAUUGCAUUCGACACUGGCAAGCUAGAGUAUGGGAGAGGAAGGUAGAAUUCCAGGUGUAGCGGUGAAAUGCGUAGAGAUCUGGAGGAAUACCGAUGGCGAAGGCAGCCUUCUGGCCUAAUACUGACGCUGAGGUGCGAAAGCAUGGGGAGCAAACAGG